GAAAUGCGAUAAGUAAUGUGAAUUGCAGAAUUCAGUGAAUCAUCGAAUCUUUGAACGCACAUUGCGCCCGCCAGUAUUCUGGCGGGCAUGCCUGUUCGAGCGUCAUGACAACCCUCAGGCCCCCGGGCCUGGCGUUGGGGAUCGGCGGAAGCCCCCUGCGGGCACAACGCCGUCCCCCAAAUACAGUGGCGGUCCCGCCGCAGCUUCCAUUGCGUAGUAGCUAACACCUCGCAACUGGAGAGCGGCGCGGCCACGCCGUAAAACACCCAACUUCUGAAUGUUGACCUCGAAUCAGGUAGGAAUACCCGCUGAACUUAAGC
rnacentral:misc_RNA from 1 species